rnacentral:rRNA from 1 species
GACGAACGCUGGCGGCGUGCUUAACACAUGCAAGUCGAGCGGUAAGGCCCUUUCGGGGUACGACGAGCGGCGAACGGGUGAGUAACACGUGGGUGACCUGCCCUCCAGCUCUGGGAGUAAGCCGUGGGAAACGUGGGUCGUAAUACUGGAUAUGACUCCACGGUGCAUGUCGGUGGGGUGGAAAGCCUUGUGCGGCUGAGGAUGGGCCCGCGGCCUAUCAGCUUGUUGGUGGGGUGANGGCCUACCAAGGCGACGACGGGUAGCCGGCCGUGAGAGGGCGACCGGCCACACUGGGACGUGAGACACGGCCCACGACUCCUACGGGAGGGCAGCAGUGGGGAAGUCUUGCGCAA